rnacentral:rRNA from 1 species
UUUAUGGAGAGUUUGAUCCUGGCUCAGGAUGAACGCUGGCGGCGUGCCUAAUACAUGCAAGUCGAGCGAACGGACGAGAAGCUUGCUUCUCUGAUGUUAGCGGCGGACGGGUGAGUAACACGUGGAUAACCUACCUAUAAGACUGGGAUAACUUCGGGAAACCGGAGCUAAUACCGGAUAAUAUUUUGAACCGCAUGGUUCAAAAGUGAAAGACGGUCUUGCUGUCACUUAUAGAUGGAUCCGCGCUGCAUUAGCUAGUUGGUAAGGUAACGGCUUACCAAGGCAACGAUGCAUAGCCGACCUGAGAGGGUGAUCGGCCACACUGGAACUGAGACACGGUCCAGACUCCUACGGGAGGCAGCAGUAGGGAAUCUUCCGCAAUGGGCGAAAGCCUGACGGAGCAACGCCGCGUGAGUGAUGAAGGUCUUCGGAUCGUAAAACUCUGUUAUUAGGGAAGAACAUAUGUGUAAGUAACUGUGCACAUCUUGACGGUACCUAAUCAGAAAGCCACGGCUAACUACGUGCCAGCAGCCGCGGUAAUACGUAGGUGGCAAGCGUUAUCCGGAAUUAUUGGGCGUAAAGCGCGCGUAGGCGGUUUUUUAAGUCUGAUGUGAAAGCCCACGGCUCAACCGUGGAGGGUCAUUGGAAACUGGAAAACUUGAGUGCAGAAGAGGAAAGUGGAAUUCCAUGUGUAGCGGUGAAAUGCGCAGAGAUAUGGAGGAACACCAGUGGCGAAGGCGACUUUCUGGUCUGUAACUGACGCUGAUGUGCGAAAGCGUGGGGAUCAAACAGGAUUAGAUACCCUGGUAGUCCACGCCGUAAACGAUGAGUGCUAAGUGUUAGGGGGUUUCCGCCCCUUAGUGCUGCAGCUAACGCAUUAAGCACUCCGCCUGGGGAGUACGACCGCAAGGUUGAAACUCAAAGGAAUUGACGGGGACCCGCACAAGCGGUGGAGCAUGUGGUUUAAUUCGAAGCAACGCGAAGAACCUUACCAAAUCUUGACAUCCUUUGACAACUCUAGAGAUAGAGCCUUCCCCUUCGGGGGACAAAGUGACAGGUGGUGCAUGGUUGUCGUCAGCUCGUGU